CUCAGCUCUCCUUCUCUGUCUCUCCCUUUCUCCCAUAACCCAUUCCCCCUCCUCCUUAUCCCACCCGCUCAAAACCCAAAUCCCAACCCAACCCCCUUAAAACCAAUGAGAGAAAGCCAAAGAACGUACUCUACCUUGCCCUCCACAUUCCUGACGUCAAGACAGAUUGAAGUUGUCUACUUGGGAUUUUGGGUUUUGUACAUUAUGUGAAAUAGAGUGUUGUGUUUUGUAUCUUCUUCUUGACUAGAAAAGUAUCUCCUUGAGGUACCCAAACUAAGGUUUUCGGCAAAGAAGUUUUUGCAGGUCGGGUUGGGAUGAAGAAGGAUUGGGG
rnacentral:lncRNA from 1 species